rnacentral:rRNA from 1 species
CAACUUUAAGCAAUGGAUCUCUUGGCUCUCGCAUCGAUGAAGAGCGUAGCAAAUUGCGAUAAUUAGUGCGAUCUGCAUUCUGCGAAUCAUCGAGUUCUUGAACGCACCUUGCACCCUUUGGCUUGUCCUUGGGGUAUGCUUGUUUCAGUACAACUACA